AACGAACGCUGGCGGCAUGCCUAACACAUGCAAGUCGAACGAAGGCUUCGGCCUUAGUGGCGCACGGGUGAGUAACGCGUGGGAAACUGCCUAUUGGUGGGGAAUAACGACGGGAAACUGUCGCUAAUACCGCAUAAGCCCUUCGGGGGCAAGAUUUAUCGCCGAUAGAUGUGCCCGCGUCCGAUUAGCUAGUUGGUGGGGUAAUGGCUCACCAAGGCGACGAUCGGUAGCUGGUCUGAGAGGAUGAUCAGCCACACUGGGACUGAGACACGGCCCAGACUCCUACGGGAGGCAGCAGUGGGGAAUAUUGGACAAUGGGCGAAAGCCUGAUCCAGCAAUGCCGCGUGAGUGAUGAAGGCCUUAGGGUUGUAAAGCUCUUUCGGGUGGGACGAUGAUGACGGUACCACCAGAAGAAGCCCCGGCUAACUUCGUGCCAGCCGCCGCGGUAA
rnacentral:rRNA from 1 species